GACGAACGCUGGCGGCGUGCCUAAUACAUGCAAGUCGAGCGAAGUUUUUCUGGUGCUUGCACCGGAAAAACUUAGCGGCGAACGGGUGAGUAACACGUAAAGAACCUGCCUCAUAGACUGGGACAACUAUUGGAAACGAUAGCUAAUACCGGAUAACAGCAUUAACUGCAUGGUUGAUGUUUAAAAGUUGGUUUUGCUAACACUAUGAGAUGGCUUUGCGGUGCAUUAGCUAGUUGGUGGGGUAAAGGCCUACCAAGGCGACGAUGCAUAGCCGACCUGAGAGGGUGAUCGGCCACACUGGGACUGAGACACGGCCCAGACUCCUACGGGAGGCAGCAGUAGGGAAUCUUCCGCAAUGGGCGAACGCCUGACGGAGCAACGCCGCGUGAGUGAAGAAGGAUUUCGGUUCGUAAAGCUCUGUUGUUAGGGAAGAAUGAUUGUGUAGUAACUAUACACAGUAGAGACGGUACCUAACCAGAAAGCCACGGCUAACUACGUG
rnacentral:rRNA from 1 species